rnacentral:rRNA from 1 species
AUGAACGCUAGCGGGAGGCCUAACACAUGCAAGCCGAGCGGUAGAGAGUAGCUUGCUACUUUUGAGAGCGGCGUACGGGUGCGUAACACGUGUGCAACCUGCCUUUAUCUGGAGAAUAGCCUUUCGAAAGGAAGAUUAAUGCUCCAUAACAUAUAGAAUGGCAUCAUUUAAUAUUGAAAGCUCCGGCGGAUAGAGAUGGGCACGCGCAAGAUUAGUUAGUUGGUGAGGUAACGGCUCACCAAGGCGAUGAUCUUUAGGGGGCCUGAGAGGGUGAUCCCCCACACUGGUACUGAGACACGGACCAGACUCCUACGGGAGGCAGCAGUGAGGAAUAUUGGACAAUGGGUGAAAGCCUGAUCCAGCCAUCCCGCGUGAAGGAUGACGGCCCUAUGGGUUGUAAACUUCUUUUGUAUAGGGAUAAACCUACCCUCGUGAGGGUAGCUGAAGGUACUAUACGAAUAAGCACCGGCUAACUCCGUGCCAGCCGCCGCGGUAA